UGCAGCUCAGAUUCCCCGCCGCAGCCCGAGCUGCUCUGUGACGGGAAAGAGAAAUGGCGGGAUCUUCCCGCGGACCGCUCAGUCUUGGCCCCAGAGCGAUCCGCAGCCUGGAGAGCUGCACAACAGGCUCAUCCCUCUUCUAACGUGCUGUGGUCAGCAGUGAGACAGCGAACCGUGCUGCCACUUAUCGCUGGUCUCUGCGUAGAGAAAUGCCCUUCAGAACUGUUGUUGCAGGUUCGCAGUAAACGCAGGAGAGGUUUCUGGCCCCAUGGAUAGUGGCAUACAAGCUCAAGUGAGACUCCAAAGUACAUAAAUGAGAAAUCCUGGCACAAUGGUCUCAGACAGCCCCAGGCAAGGUCAGAGAAAGGACUUUCAACAGCAACAGCAGCAAUUCACUUCAGUUUGCCUGAGAGAAUGAGACCACAGCACUCAUGCACUAGCUUAGUACAAGUAAUGCAUGGUAAUAAAGGACAGA